rnacentral:rRNA from 1 species
GACGGAAGGUGCAAGCGUUGCUCGGAAUCACUGGGCGUAAAGGGUGCGUAGGCGGCCGUGCAAGUCUGGCGUGAAAGCCCCGGGCUCAGCCCGGGAAGUGCGCUCGAAACUGCGCGGCUCGAGUGCCGGAGGGGAGAGUGGAAUUCCUGGUGUAGCAGUGAAAUGCGUAGAGAUGUGGAGGAACACCGAUGGCGAAGGCAGCCCCCUGGGUCAAGACUGACGCUCAUGCACGAAAGCGUGGGGAGCAAACAGG